CGCGUAGGCGGCCGAUUAAGUCGGGGGUGAAAGCCUGUGGCUCAACCACAGAAUUGCCUUCGAUACUGGUUGGCUUGAGACCGGAAGAGGACAGCGGAACUGCGAGUGUAGAGGUGAAAUUCGUAGAUAUUCGGAGGAACACCAGUGGCGAAGGCGGCUUACUGGUCCAUUACUGACGCUGAGGUGCGAAAGCGUGGGGAGCAAACA
rnacentral:rRNA from 1 species